CUCACUCUCCACUUUUGGCUAGCGAGGAGGGCGGGGCCAUUGGACCUAGUGACUCUGACCUCCUUGCUUGUGUAUUUGGUUGUCCGGA
rnacentral:pre_miRNA from 1 species